rnacentral:rRNA from 1 species
GGGUAGUAUUAGUUAUAUUCUUGAAACUCAGAGGAUUUGGCGGUAUUUUAAUCCUUUCAGAGGAGUCUGUCCCGUAAUCGAUGAUCCACGUUAAUUGUGUACUUUAUUUGGUUGAGUGCAGUUUGUAUAUCGCCGUCGUUCAGGAGAUUUUUGAAAAUAGGUAAUUUUCUAUAAUUUUAAUUAAAAUAUAAGGCAGGUCAAGGUGCAGCUUAUGAUAAAGGGGGAGAUGGACUACAAUAUAUUUAUGUAUCACGGAUUAUUUUUUUUAUAGGGGGUAAGAAGGUGGAUUUGAUUGUAAUUUUU